ACUUUCACUAUCUCAGGCUGUCAGGCAUACUUGUCAGCAGCUGGGAGCUUGAACUCAUUUGUGGAGUUAGACACAUUAGCAUAUAAAAGAAAACUUAGUGCUGCACCACUUUCAAGCAGGGGAAUUUGGGCCAAGGAUUUAGCAACGGACAUCUGAAGAACUCAGAAAAAGCAAGGGAUGGGGAAAACAGAACAAAGGAAGAGGCUGGCUCCCUUUCACAGCAACCUUCUUUUACAGCUCCUCAGCAGACACUUCCCAUUUGUGUGCUGUGACACUUGAGGCUAUCUGACCCCUGAAGCAGAAGUCUGGGCAAUUACAGAUGGUGCUGGCUGUUCUGAGAGCUGAGCUGUGCACAGGCAGCUCUGUCCCAGCAUGUGCCAUGGCCGGGCAAUGCCUUGUAUGAAGCCCUGGGAUGAGUCUUCCUGGCCAGUGCAGGGUGAUAUGUGCAGGACUCCUACUGUUGGGCAAGGCCUGGGACUGCAGUGCUCACUCUCAUCUCCAGAUUCUCCUUCCACAUCCUUGCAAGCCAAAAAAGUCUUCUAACAGAGAAAGCAGAACUUGAAUCUUCCAUGCAAAAGUCCUGCCUGGAUCUCUGUUUGCAGGCUGCUUUCCUUCCUGUCCUCUUUACAUGGAAGGCUGCUGCGUAAUGUUAUUUAUUAACAACCCACAGGGAAUGCAGCAGGAUUAGUUAUAAUUUUGCUUGUAUUCUUAAAUACAUUGCACCUGAUUUCACCGCCCCUGGUAGAUGCUAGGAAUUCAGCCUUGUGGUGCUGGUCAGCAGGGUGAAUGCUUUAUCUCUAGGCUCUCAGUACCCCCAGAAUGUCUGUCUGUCCCCUGACAUAGAUCCUAACUCUGGGCAUUCCCAGCCGUGGGUCCAUGCCAGCCCCCCAGUAACAGGGCCAACAGAAAGAGAAGUGUGCAUAGGAUUCUAACAUCCAAAUUUCAGCAGUUUUUGCAUGGAUAUACGGAGCUCUAAGCAGAACUGACAGGUUGCAGGGGCCUGGACCUACAUUACCCUCAGUCAUUCCUGGCCAGGGACAAACCAUGCCAACAGCCAUCACAGAAUCACCCGACGCUGUGUGGCAGAGACCUCAGUGUGACCUAGGAGAUGUAUUUGUAGCACAGCCAAUCUCUUUUCAAUCACGGAGUCAUCCUUCUUUCCACGCCUCCAUGUCACUUGUUUCAACAGUGGCAGUGUUUCUCCAACACGAGGAAAUAAACAUGUGUAAUACAAUUAUUAUUUUUUUAGUUUAUCUAACCAAAGCAUUUUUAGGAGCUGGAUAACAGAGUAGAAUGCCAGUCCCAAAAUUGUAACUUUUAAUGUUGGGUGAAAAAUUAAACCUUUAAAAUAGAUAUUAAAUUUGAGAGAGGCUGAAAAAGUUCUGUUGGAACUUGGAGGAGUUUCAAACGUUAUUUUUAACCAUAGACAUUCAGCUCUUAUGGGAAACAAAACUUAGAAGGACAGAUAUAAUUAGGUCAGAUAUUGAGAAACUUAUUAUGCUUUGCUGCAGAUGAUCCCAGGAGAAUGUAACUUAAGCCCUUUUUUUGUAUUAAGAUUCAAUCAUGGUUCUUCGCUUUUUUAUGCAGAGUUCUGUUCAAAGAAUAAAAUAAAGUAGGAUAGAAAUAUGCUUUGUAUUGCUAAGUGCUUCAGCAUGUGAAGCAAUGAAUGUUUGACAAGAAAUCUAGGGACAGAAGGCAAGAUUUGUAUUUCAUUUUGUACCAAAAUACAUAACAUUAUGCUAGCAUCUGUGCCUGCUUUUGUUCGCUGUGUAGAAACGCCGAUACACUGAUGGCACUGGUAUCUGCUGGGAUGCUUGGCAUCUCCAAAGCACCACCGUGUGAGAAUGAACUCUGCCUAGCAGCAUGACUACAACACAGACAUUAUUCAUACUAUGAAUGGGGAAACUGAGGCCAAGAGCUUGAUGGUCAGUGCCAAGUCUGUUUCACAGUUGCAGUCAGGACCCUACAGCUUCUACCUUUUGCUCCUUUUGCUUCUGCAGAGACAACUACCUUCACAUGCGAGAUGUACAUCUCGUACGUAACCACAGGAGAAAAGCCUCUAUCAAAAGAAACAAGCCAGUAGGUGGCUGAUACCAGAAAACAGAAGCAAGAUGUCAGCAUGUUCAAUGGCUGUGUUCUCCUGAGUGGAGGAAAAGUACCUGGGAAAGCAAUGAGAGGAGAGAUGAGGAGCUGCCUGCCGCAGAGAGAACAGCUGGCUGGAAGAGAACAUACCAGGACAACUGCCAGCAUACUGAGCGAGAGGUGUUGGGAGUGUUUGUUGUUCACACUCACCAACCUGAUGUGAUUUAUUGUGCUUUUAUUUCAUCUUCCUUCAAAGAUGCUAUGUCUGUUUAAAUACAGUUUUCACUCUGUUGCUCACUACUGGAGAUGCUUCACUCAAGGAGGCCCAGGUAAUACAAUGCAGCUUCUUCCUGGAAGCCCAAAAUAAUGUUUAAAUGACAUUCUGCAAAGACUGUAAAAAUUGAACACAACCUCUGCCUCCUUAGUCAUUUUGUGGCAGAACAGCAGGAAAGCCUGUCUGAACUUGAAUCUUGUUGCUGUAUUUAGACGUAUUUUUUUCACGGUAAAGACGUAGCCUUGGAGUCCAUCAUCCCAGAAUAGAAGAGCAUGUCAAAAACACUUCUAAGGUAUGAUCUGUUCAUUAGUCUGUGAUCAUACUCUAGGGAAGACAAAGCAGUACAUCCUUUUCAAUACAAGAGAAAUAUUUCCUAUUUCCUAAAUUUGGGGUUUUAAAUUGAGUUUACUUUAGCCAAAUGGGGAGUCCAUCACACUGCAGGGGCCAGCAGAGCAUGGUGGGGUUGUUAAAAAUGUAUUUAAGUCUCUGCUAAAACUCACUGAAUUUUACUAGUUUCAGCAGCCACCUUUCUGAAAAAACUGUAUUUCAACACAUUCAAAAUGAAACCUUACUUUUUUUUCACAUCAAAAAACCCUCUCCUUUCAAGUCUUACCUACACUUAUUUUAGUGAAAAUCAGCUGAUCUCCCCAAAAUAGAACAUGUCUUUUGCCAUUGUGCCCAGCUCCCAUGUUUUGUUUCUUUGCUGGCUUUCACUUUUACCACGGGGGGUAAAAAAUCCCUCAGUCCAGAGCAGCCACAGGCCUUCUGGCUCUUUAUCCAUUGGGCGAAAGCAAAAACUCAGUAAUCUGUGAAGAUGGGCAAAACCGAGGGUGUUCAUCCACUGUGGGCAGGCAAUGCUGCUUCUCUCACAGAAGCAGAGAGCACACCAUCAAACAAGGACUUGGAGAGCCCUCAUUAACACCUCUAUGGAGUGCUGAUUAAUUGGGUUAAUUGGCAGUCUGAGCCAUGAAACGCAAUGUCAUGCUCAGGGCUGGCCUGGAAGAAUGAGACCUGGUAGGGUGCAAGUGGCUCUGGCCAUUAUGGCCUCCUGACCUUUCAAAAGCUUCCCCAGCCUUGAACUGGGAAGGUCAGGGCCCACUGCCAACCAAGGGCAGCACAAGGGGCUGGAGCAGCUGGUGGGCACCAGGACAUGGCAGGCUAGGCUGGUGAGCAGAGCAUUGACCUGAGAGGGGAGGAGACCAGGAAGGUGAUGGCCAUCCCAUUUUCAGGAGGAGAAGGGCACCGAGCUGUGACCUUGGUACAUGUGAGGACCUGUCCUUUGUAGGUCAUUAUAGGAGUUACAUAAGGUGAAACCAGUGCUUUCAGAUUGCUGUCAUGCACUCAAAUAAAAUCAGUUUAAGUGCUAGAGGGGUGUGUAUUCCUUCCUGUUUCACCUGCCCCAUGAGGUAUUGGCUGGUGUUGCCCUCUCCCUAUGGAAGUACAUCAUGUUUUCUAGCAAGCCCUAGAUAGGAGGUAAUUGAGGAAAACCAUUCCAUUCAAGGAGCAUGGGGCUGUGGCAAAUCCAGGUCAUGGCCCACCCAGACAGUGUCCACAUUACUGCAGGGAUGCUGGCUUAAUUUUUACACGGCAGCAAUGUGCAGAGGCCAUUAUGAAUCUCCGCUCUUCCCUUCACAGACCGUUCUGCCUCUAUGGCUUUGAUUAAUGCCAAAUAAGACCAGCAGGUGUCACUUCCAAGUGUUGCUUCCGUGGUGUGCAGCAGAACAAUGUCAACACAGAAGAGAGUUUUAAUCGAAGCAAGCAACUGAGGGUACAAUAAGGAGCAUUAAAUUUGGGUGUUGCUAUCAGCCAAUUGGAUGUGUUAGUGGGAGUCUCACAGUUCAGGCAGUCCAACUGUUUACCAGAAUCUAUUUUCAGAGAAGAUGCCCACUGCUGCAAGAGGCAGAGGUGGCACUGGGAAAGGCCACCAUCAGGAGCCAGCAUCGUCAAGAUGGGAUUUGUGUCCAUGUGGCUGCCUCCCUUCUGUUUUGCAGCAGACAGCAGAGAGGGAUGGAGGGGGAGAAGGGAAAAAUGAAGCUAUCCAGAGGAGAACAAAGUGGUCUGAAGCUGCCUUUUCUUCUUGCUGUCUCAUAUUACUCCAAGACAAGGACUUGAAAGGUGAAGGAAAGAAGUCCUGGAGAUGUAUCAUUGCUUCAAGUUUAUAGUCAGGGAAAAAAAAAACACAAACAAACAACCCAAUUACUUAUUUAAUUCUGACCAGUUUGAAACAAUUCACUCUGCUUUUGUGUCUAUUAUCCUGCAUACAAAGUCCUCAAAACCCUUGCCUGUUUCUUGCUGCUGGAUAUAGCUAAGUCUUCACUUGGGGCAGUCCCACGGAUUCAGCAUGCGGCUACUCUGAUUCUUUGCUUCUGCUGAGAUCUCAGCAACACACACAGCAGUUGUGGAAUGCCUACCCUGCUUUACAUUCAAUCCUUAGCUUAUUCUAAAGCAACUUUCAUGUGUAGACAAGCCAGGGCAAGGCUGCAGUGCUAGCUACCCUGUCUUUCUGUCUUCAGAAAUCCUCCCAUGCGAAGGCAAUGCUUUAUUUCCUCUUUAAAGCAGUGAUUUGUCUCAGUAUAUUCCUGCUGCACAAAAGGGGGGGAGGCUAAACAUCAGGAUUUGCUCAAAAUGAGAUGGGCUGGAACUGGAAUAAGCAAAUCAAACUCCCUUCUUAUGAACGUACCACCUUCCUUUGCAAGAUGGACCCAAACAACAAUACUGAACGCAACUCCUCUAAUGCCAGAGAAAUUCAAAUCCAGGUCUAACUUAGAAACCUAGGAAUGAGAGGUGAGGUAAUAUGACACUUCCCCUUGGGAUGACUGAAUGAAAGAAUGCAGGAAGGAGGAAAAAAUUAACCCUAUCUGCGCACAAAGCAAGCCACAUCCCUUCUGCUCUCCAAUCCUGGGGAAGAUGUUCAAGAUUUGAACAUUAUUCCUACCCUUCGGGCAAGAAAGAGAAUGAUACAGUUCUAAUGAGCAGGAUCUAGGGGAAUGUGGAAUUGUGAAUAAUGAUGGUAUCAUUAUGAUAUGAUGAUCAUCAUUCUGUGAUAAUGAUUGUAGACUUUGCAGUACUGGCAGUGCUGUGAGGAAGAGGCAUGAACUAGUAAACAUUUUUGCUUUCAUCUGAUGGAAGAAAGGUGAUUAGCAAAUAGAUUGUUCUUGAUAUUUGUUGCAUUUUUACAGGUGAGCUUCACCUACAUUUGGGUGUUCAGUCAUUUGUAUAGCACUGGAUUCAGAGUGAAUGUCUU